AGAAAAAAACCUUGGGAGAAACCAGGCUCAGUUGGGGGGGCAGUUCUCCUCUGACCAGACGAAACCAGUAGUUCAAUUCCAGACUGCAGCAAAGUCAGAUUGUGCAGAAGAAUCAUCUGUUUCCUGUGGUCUUGUCCUGGUGCUCCUCUGAGACAAGGUCUUUACAGGGGAUCUGUAUCUGGGGCUCUAGUUGUCCUGGUCUCCGCUGUCUUUCAGGGCUGUAGAGGUCCUUUCUAGGUGCUGAUCCACCAUCUGGUCUGGAUACGUACUGGAUCCGGGUGACUGCAGUGACCCUCUGAUCUGGAUACAGACUGGAUCUGGUGGCAACGGUGACCUCGGAACAAGAGAGAAACAGACAAAUAUUAGCGUAGAUGCCAUUCUUCUAAUGAUGUAGCAAGUACGGUGUUAUGUGAAGUGUUUCCGGUUCCGGUUUACCUAAUUAAUGCAGCCUAAAAAUCCUUUAACGGAUUUGGAUAUUAAAAGCAUAUUAGUAUGUUAUGUGUAUGCCAGGUUAAAGAGAUGGGUCUUUAAUCUAGAUUUAAACUGCAAGAGUGUGUCUGCCUCCCGAACAAUGUUAGGUAGGUUAUUCCAGAGUUUAGGCGCCAAAUAGGAAAAGGAUCUGCCGCCCACAGUUGAUCUUGAUAUUCUAGGUAUUAUCAAAUUGCCUGAGUUUUGAGAACGUAGCGGACGUAGAGAAAGCUUGAAACCUCUCGGAGACACAAGGCCUUUCUCAGUGUCAAGGAAGGAUCCUCGGAAGCCAGAAUUUCGAGUAUUCUACGUCAUCGACAUCCGUCAAAGGACUGUUCCAAUGUCGAGGAUCCUCGGAAUUUCAACCAAGGACUGAGUCCUUCGUUCGAAGAAUAUCCCAUACACAGGAAAGGAUGCAUAUGUGUAUCCUUCGCGCUCUCAAAUCACCCACAAUCCUAUGCGCAAGGCUUUGCUAUCUUGUGUGUUAACGGUUUUUAUUUAAGUUACCAAACAUUUGUUAUAACUGUAGUAAAUAUAAGUAAAGUUUAACAUUUAAAUGCCAGU